ACAUACGUGGAGAAAUUGAUGAAAAUCCUAAUUUCAUUACCUUUGUAACUUUGUUGUACGUUCCCAUUCUCUUGUUCUCAUUCUCAAACAAGGUCCAUCAUCAUAUCAAUGCCUAUGCUAUGCCCUUGUUGUUUAAAUUUCUCUCUCAAUCGAUCUCUUUCACUUAGAGGCCCUCUCUCAACAGAGAUAUCAUUGUCUCAGCGGUUUCCAUCGAAUCGUAUAUACUUUCCAAGCUCAAAAUUGAUCCUUGUCCCACCAUACCUAGAGGCUUUGAUAGUGAUAUGGUAAGUGUGAGGGUGAAAUAUUGUGCAGGUCUCAAUUAUUUCAACUUUGAAUAAAGCUGACAGUUCCUCUCUUCUUUCUUUUUCCCUCAAUUUGUUUGAUUUUGACAGAAGAAUCCUUCUCUGAUCUCUUUCUCUAUCAUGUGCCACGAUUUUAUUUACCCCAGCUUGUGUAGGAAAAUAGAUAUGUUUUGUACUGGUGUCGCACCAAGUUUAUAUUAUUUGUAUUUGUAUGCAAAUAAUUAAUGUUUUUGUACGCGUCUAGAUAUAUAUCUAAACUAUCUAUAGUCUUUUUGUCAGUUUUACUUUUAUCAAACAAUUAAUUUUCUUUUGUGGAUGAAUAUAAUUAACUACCUAGAAUGAUUAAUUCCAAUACUAAUAUUUUUUUAUAAGAAACAAGUGAUAAAAUAUUUUAUACUAUAACUUAUUUUUCAUAAAAAAAAGAUCGGAGUUAUUCUUGAUUAUUUUUUUAUAAUUUAUUGUCCUCCAUUUUAAUUAACCUUUAGUGGUGUUUUACUUAUCUGUGAACAGUUUAUUUUGUAGAUGAAUUAACAACCUAUGAUAUAUUCUGCAUUCAAUAUUCCAUGUCAAAUCUGGCUAUAUGUUCAUACCUACAAAUUGAAGGGAGCCCUAGACAACAGCUGGCUAGUCAAUUUUCCUGUAGUACAUCGUUGGAUAGAUGGAUAAUUAAGAAGAUGGAUAAUGGUACAAUGAGCGUACAUCGAU
rnacentral:lncRNA from 1 species